AGAGUUUGAUCCUGGCUCAGAAUCAACGCUGGCGGCGUGCCUAACACAUGCAAGUCGAACGCGAAAGUCCCGCAAGGGAUGAGUAGAGUGGCAAACGGGUGAGUAACACGUGGGUGACCUGCCUUCGAGCGGGGGAUAACGUCCCGAAAGGGACGCUAAUACCGCAUGACAUCCUGCCUUUGAACAGGCGGUGAUCAAAGCUGGGGAUCGCAAGACCUGGCACUUGAAGAGGGGCCCGCGCCUGAUUAGCUAGUUGGUGAGGUAAUGGCUCACCAAGGCGACGAUCAGUAUCCGGCCUGAGAGGGCGGACGGACACACUGGGACUGAGACACGGCCCAGACUCCUACGGGAGGCAGCAGUGGGGAAUUGUUCGCAAUGGGCGCAAGCCUGACGACGCAACGCCGCGUGGAGGAUGGAGACCUUCGGGUCG
rnacentral:rRNA from 1 species